rnacentral:rRNA from 1 species
CCUACGGGAGGCAGCAGUGAGGAAUAUUGGUCAAUGGACGAGAGUCUGAACCAGCCAAGUAGCGUGAAGGAUGACUGCCCUAUGGGUUGUAAACUUCUUUUAUAUGGGAAUAAAAUGUUCCACGUGUGGGCUUUUGUAUGUAACAUAUGAAUAAGGAUCGGCUAACUCCGUGCCAGCAGCCGCGGUAAUACGGAGGAUCCGAGCGUUAUCCGGAUUUAUUGGGUUUAAAGGGAGCGUAGGUGGAUUGUUAAGUCAGUUGUGAAAGUUUGCGGCUCAACCGUAAAAUUGCAGUUGAAACUGGCAGUCUUGAGUACAGUAGAGGUAGGCGGAAUUCGUGGUGUAGCGGUGAAAUGCUUAGAUAUCACGAAGAACUCCGAUUGCGAAGGCAGCUCACUGGACUGCAACUGACACUGAGGCUCGAAAGUGUGGGUAUCAAACAGGAUUAGAUACCCUUGUAGUC